CCUGCACAAAUGGAAACUUUUCCAUGGAUGUGACUUCAUUGGAGAUGUGAAUCAAUGAUUCCAGCAAAUUAGACCUAGUUGGAAGAAAGCCCAAGGAAACCAUGAGAGGAGGAAGAGCUAUAUCCAUGGUGUUGCUUCUGUUCAGAGUAAGUUUAUAUUCAUUGUUCUUUUCAUGGUCAAGGACUCCAGAGCUUCUCAUGUUAAGAUUUAUUGAAGAAAACUUCUAUGUCAGAACAAAGAUAAAAUAAUACACUAAAUUUUGUCAUGGUUAUUGACUGCUUCUGUUUCUACUGUUAUUCUAGGUGAUAAUAAGAUGGCUGGUUGGAGAAGUCCUGAGUUUCUGCCACUUGGAGGUCAUACUGCUCCUGCUGCGUAAGUUAUAUUCUCAUCAAUUUUAUAUACAGAGAAACAUACAAAUACAUAUGUACACACAAAAAUGAGCCUUGGAUUUUAUUGGUGGUAGCUUCUUAGAAGUAUUUGCUUAAAAACCAUUUAUUUUUGAAGUAUACAUUUCUCCUUCAUCUUCUAGUUUUCUAUUCAUAUCAAGUUUAAUACAAAUCUCAAACAGUACAUGACAAAUAAGAUUGGUGUUAGGACUACUAGUUAUAGUAUUAGAAAAUGUUACUUAAACAAAUACUAUUGCUGUCACACGUGAGAUGCAAUCCCUUUUGUUUAAAUCUUUAGGUGAAAAUGAAAUCAGCACAAUGGGCUGUAGGAUUUCAUUGUGGAUUAAUGGAUUUAAUAAUCUCACUCCUUACUUGGACUCUUUUUUGGCUGUGCAUUCAGCAUUGCAUUAUCAUAUUACCUGGAUUUUGGCUUUGAACAGAUUUGAAAUUUCAAUACCCUGAAUUUGUGCUUGAUUAGUUCAAACUUUGCCAACUAUAUUAAACUCUUUUUGGAAACAAUGUCGCAAUCUAGUCUUGCAAAGGAGUUCUAAUUUGUUUUUUUUUCGUAUGUAGGAUUGACUGGGAACAUGUGAUAUUGUUGUUGGGCAUUUGAAACCACAUCUUGACCUAAAAGGUUAAUCUAUUAGAUUUAUGGUUCAUUAGAGCAUGUGAGAUUUUACAUAUGUUGACUUAUUCUUUUUCCGGACGAAGGUGGUAUUAUAUUGAAUUGAAAUUUUAAAUUUUAUUAUUUAAUACUCC
rnacentral:lncRNA from 1 species